rnacentral:rRNA from 1 species
GAUGAACGCUGACGGAAUGCUUAACACAUGCAAGUCAACUGUGGCGGACGGGUGAGUAACGCGUAAAGAACUUGCCUCGCAGUUAGGGACAGCAUUUGGAAACGAAUGCUAAUACCUGAUACUGUGAGAGAGCUUUGCGUCCCAUUAGCUAGUUGGAGAGGUAACGGCUCACCAAGGCGAUGAUGGGUAGCCGGCCUGAGAGUGUGAUCGGCCACAAGGGGACGUGGACACCGCCCUUACGCAUACGGGAGGAAGCAGUGGGGAACAUUGGAAAAUGGACCAAAGUCUGAUCAAGCAAUUCUGUGUGCACGAUGAAGUUUUCGGAAUGUAAAGUGCUUUUAGUUGGGAAGCGGUACCAACAGAAGAAGCGACGGCUAAAUACGUGCCAGCAGCCGCGGUAAUUC